rnacentral:rRNA from 1 species
CACGUAGGGUGCGAGCGUUGUCCGGAAUUAUUGGGCGUAAAGAGCUCGUAGGCGGUGUGUCGCGUCGGCCGUGAAAACCUGUGGCUUAACUAUGGGCUUGCGGUCGAUACGGGCAUCACUGGAGUUCGGCAGGGGAGACUGGAAUUCCUGGUGUAGCGGUGAAAUGCGCAGAUAUCAGGAGGAACACCGGUAGCGAAGGCGGGUCUCUGGGCCGAUACUGACGCUGAGGAGCGAAAGCGUGGGGAGCGAACAGG